CCUACGGGUGGCUGCAGUGGGGAAUAUUGCACAAUGGGGGAAACCCUGAUGCAGCGACGCCGCGUGAGUGAGGAAGUAUUUCGGUAUGUAAAGCUCUAUCAGCAGGGAAGAAAAUGACGGUACCUGACUAAGAAGCCCCGGCUAACUACGUGCCAGCAGCCGCGGUAAUACGUCGGGCGCACGCGUUAUCCGGAUUGACUGGGGGUAACGGGAGCGGAGACGGUUUAUCAAGUCAGAAGUGAAAGCCCAGGGUUUAACCUUGGGACUGCUUUUGAAACUGAGUAGCUAGAGUGCAGGAGAGGUAAGCGGAAUUCCUGGUGUAGCGGUGAAAUGCGUAGAUAUUAGGAGGAACACCAGUGGCGAAGGCGGCUUACUGGACUGUAACUGACGUUGAGGCUCGAAAGCGUGGGGAGCAAACAGGAUUAGAUACCCCUGUAGUC
rnacentral:rRNA from 1 species